AAUAACCGUGGCUUAUUGUGUCUUACCUAUUAACAUAUGCAGAGUGGGGAGCUGCAUUCGACUUUAGUGUCUUUUCACCAGCAAAGUAUUUAUUACUUCUAAAUUAGUGCACUGAGAACUUUGAGGACUUUUUUUAACUAGAAGCCCUGACAUUAUGUCGGCUGUGAAGUGGUGGGUAGCUUCCAGCAUUUUUGACUGCAUGCAUCCAGGUUGAGGUAGUAGGUUGUAUAGUUUAGAAUUACACCAAGGGAGAUAACUGUACAACCUCCUAGCUUUCCUUGGGUCUUGCACAGAACGGCGUGAUGAGCGACUAUAAUUCCUCAGCAAUGUUUGCUCUGGACACAUGGAACAGGAAAGAGCAGGUAAGAUGAGCUGGAAAACCUGUUAUUUUCUUCUGCCUCUCUAGAACUUCAGAAAUGUUCAUUCUCUUGGCAUUUUUUACCUAUUGGUGCUAUACUACCGAGUUUUUAGCAAAUUCAGUGGACUAGUAAUGCCUGUCUUCCUUUAUUAGCAUUCGAGCAGCGCAACGUGUAACAUUCCUAAAAAGCACCAUGGCAACAUAUCAGUGUUAUUGCCUUCGCGGUCAGCAAUCAGAAGUCUCCAAAGGUAACAUGAAAAACAUCCUGUGUUGUAUCUGUUAUUGAGAUGUGUAAGGAGGCUUCCCUUUCCAUUAGUCUUUGACUGGUUCAGUUAGUUCUACACUAGGAGUUAAACAAGGCUGUGCCCUGUAGCAGUGUGAGACCUGGCACACUCAUUGUCUCUCAGGAAGCGUAGGAGGCUGGUGCUGAUGCUUCCAGAUAAAGCCUGUAAGGGUUUGUGUGAAAGUACCUAAAUCUACACAGUCCUCAGGAGAGCAGUUCUCAGGGAAUAUCCGUUAGUGAUUACAGUCAGCUGAAAUGGUGAUUCUGAAGUUCGGGGUUUUUUCUAGGCUUGCACAGUUGAAUUGGGUGUUUCAAAGGCUGAUGCUUCUGGACACAUCCAAUAGAGGUGCUUUGCUUCUCCCUCACAGCAGAUUGGAUUAAGGAGCCGUGGAGCCACCCCAAAUUUUGUAGAGGAGCUGUGCAGAGGACGGGCACGUGGUGAGCCUGCAGUCUUGGGCGGAAGGCCACAUUUCUAAUGUAUCUUACGUGUCUAAAAUGCAGGCAAUAGAACCUAAUAUAGCCAGCUGCUAUUGAAAUCUACAGUUUUAUUUGCCUAACCAUCUGAGGCCUAAAAAACACUCUGAAACCCUGGCGUUUAUCUAGUAAAGUUUGAACACAAGAGUCAAGGUCUUCAUGUUGGCAGCGUUCGGGGUUCAGUUCCCCUGGCAGCCUGGAUGAAGAUGGUAGCUCUAAUGCUUGAUUGGGGCCCAGAACACGAGCUGUGUUGCAUCUUUUGACUAUAUAAUAUAUGACGAAUUCUGGCAAGAGAUUUUUGAGUUCCCAGAAAUAAGAGGGACUGUUUGCUAGUGGGCAAACUUUCUAAGUUAGCAAAUAAAAGUAAAGGGUAGGCACAGGGUUCAUUUUGUUAAGCUAAUCUAAAAGUGUGAAAAUAAUAAAAAUAUUUCAGGGUAUCUAAAUAACCCAGAAAAACGUGUUUUUUUUUUCUGGUAAAAUGGCACUUAAAAACUUUAAUAUCUGCAUAUCCUUGUUUACUGAAUGCAAAGAGAAGCUGUUGGUUUCUCAAGUGUUACCCAGUGCUCAAUUAUUAGCUAUUCAGAGAGUGGAUUUUGUGGGAUUUUAUGUUUUCAAAGAGGUUAUAGAUAUCACUAUCAUGGUUUAUAAUGCUGCAGUUCCUUCGGGCAAGGCAAGUAUCAGGGCUAACACAAUGCUGCUUCUGUGUGUCAUGAAGGCACAUGCAUUAAACAUGCAGGUAGUUAAUAAAGAAGAAACUUUUUGGCACAUUUUAGGCAGUACCUUAUUUCCCCCCCCAUUAAUCUUUUUGCAGAUGGAAGUGCAAAUUUUCAGCUGUAAAUCCACAAGCUGCAUUGACUCACGUCCAGUGUAGAACUGUUCCAUAAGGGUUAUUUUUUUUUACCUGUUUGGUACUUCUCUAGGAAUACCUUCACGAAUGGUGUUAUAUUCCCAACUAAGAGCAGCCUCUUUUCUAUUUUGGUGGUAGCAUUUUAGAUCUGCCUUGCACAGGUAUAAGGGAGCUUCUCAAAGUUCAAUAAUAGCAGUUAUUUAUACUAACACACACAUAUGUGCUAUCGGACUUAACUUUAUGAAGUAUGUUAAUCAUAUGACACAUAAAUCAAAUGAUCUAUCUUGCUCCAAAGGACAAAGAAUAAUAAUUUAAAAGGGGACUGGUCAGUGGUACAUUGAAGUUGACAAUAAACAUAAUUCAAUGUGCAUAUUUUUCUUCUGAACAAAAUAGCAUUCCAGCUCUCCCCCUGAUGAGAGGAAUGUAUUGUCAAUUAAUUAGACUUCCAUCAUAUGUCCUCGGAUGCCCUUCUAUCAUAUGCCUUCCAUAUGUCCUUAUGUCAUAUGCCUUCCAUAUGCCCUCUAUGUAAUUAAGCUUCUAUCAUAUGGCUUCUAUCAUAUGCCAUUUAAAUAGAUUUCCAGAAGAAUAUGGCAGUGUUACAAUUGUGGACCUUUUGCAAUGAGUAAAGGAACAACUCGUGAGCUGUAGAUUAAAAGAGGAGGAAGCAAAAGGAAGGUGGCUGGCCCUCAACAGUCCCUUCAAUUGCCAGUUUUGUUUCUCUCAGUUUGGGCGAUGAACGGACAAAAGUGUCCUAUUUUCCUUGUUUUCCAUUACUGUUCCAUUCCCAGUUUUUAUUCAGUUAAGCCUGUGAAUAGUUGGAGAGAUAGCGACUGUUUUUCAGAGAACAUUUCCACUGGAAUGUAAAAUGAAAAAGAAACAAUCCACCUCCCAGAAAAUUGUUUGUCAUAUGAUAAAGAAAUGUAAACUUUGAUCUUGUUUUUGUCCCUUUAAGUCUGUAACAUGUGGAGUACUAGAAAAGUCAUGGUGAGAGAAUUAACGAAAAUGAGAUUGUACACUUAAGCACGCAUCCCUGUUCUGCCUUGUGGACAAUGGCUGCAGAUAGUAUUGUGCUUUUCUUGGCGUGGUGAUGCCUUGGUAGAUAGUGUCCUAAUCUACAAGAAUAUGUAGUGAAAUGGAUUCCAAAUUUACUCUGACUUAUUAAGGAUAAAGACCAAAAAUAGGCGCUGAUGCUUAUACACGUAAUGAAGAAAACUGCAAGCAUCUGAGGAAUGAUGAGGUCUUGGAAUGGUUUCCAGUGAAGAGACAGAUAGUGUGCUUGUUUGCCUGAUGUACGUUUAUGUAUCUGUGCCUUCUUUCUCCCCAGCAACUUCUGAGACUAUUCUCUAAUCCCAGUCAGAUUUGAUACAGGAGCAGUGGCUUCCAAGACUAUUCUGCUCCAGCAAGCUUUACAGGAAUUGCAGAACUCACAGCCAUAUAUCCAGCAGUCAGGAAGAAGGUUGAAAGGACAAAGAGAAGGUAAAAUAGAGUCAUACGUGCGGAGGUGUCCAAACUAUAAAAUGGGGAGCAGUUUGCAGCAUAUGCCAGUUUAUCUGGAUUAACUGCAUUGAAUGAAGUAAUGAGAACAGUUCAAACAGAUUCCCACUGGCUAGUAACAAGCACGUCCCUGAAGACUUCGAACUCUAGCUGCUAGAGCAUGCUAAAACCCAUACCAUCGUGACUUCACUGCUAUUUUUAUGUGCUCUGCCUAGAUUAAGCCAGAAUUUACCAAACAAUGGUCCUAUAUUUUGCUGUGUAGGCGUACUGCUAGCCACUAUUUGUAAUAUAGAUGCAUUCCUGAAAGAUAGGUGACAGGUCUUAUUUUGGCUUAAUCUUUUUAUUCUCAACUCAGUUCUCAUUUGAAACACACACACACACACAAAACAUAACCAGUGCAUCUGGAAGUUCUAGGUCAUUAGGGAAAUUAUUCUGAAAAAUUCAUGUUGUGGUCCUGCACCACCAUUAGUUUGCUGGUGCCACAGUCGUAAACUCCGUACUCAGGGAAGCCUUUAAGCCUCUUGUAGCGUACCACUGAAAUUAUCUGUCAAGAAUAACUGCUCAUGUGUUGUACUCAGAAUUCUUUUUCUCCUGGUUUGCUGGGCAGCAGGAAAAUCCUUUCAAUAGUAUGCAGCUGCAAAUUCUCUUUUGCUUCUGUGUUUUCACGUGGCUGUGAUACUUUUGAAGGCUGGCAGCCUAACAGUCCUGAAGAAGGAGGAACUCUGUUUAUCCACAAAAUUGGGACCUUGACGGCGUGCGACCCCAUAAGCAUCUUCUGACCAUUCUGUUGUGCUGCCUCGCAGCUCUCCUUGGAGAGGACCAACCUGUGUUGGUGAGAAAGCGGAGGCAAGGGCUGUUUCCUGAAUUCUGCCCCUUUGGAAAGGAGACUGACACUCAGAAACUUUCACCGUUAGAGGGAUUAUUUUUUUUAAAAACAAUGCCUUUCAUCUAUUUCCACACCCAGCUGAAACUAUGCUGCAACACUUGUGCUGCUAAAUCAGAUGCAUUAAGUACAGUCAAAUUUGUACAUAAAAGUUUUGUAAGAACUGGGAUGAAAUAGAAUGGAAUGCCAGAAUGACUCAUUGUUUAAUGAAUAAGGCCCUAAGUGUUCUAUUGAUGCCAUUUAUAAAUCUGUAUAAAAUGUAUAGAAUUCAUGUCAUAACUGGAAUUCCAAGCACAGCAACCUUGUGAGCUAAAUUAUGAUGAUGAUAGGGUACUGCACAAAUUAAUAUGAAUUCUAACACGCUUCUGCUUGAAAGCUGCUCAGACUGUUAAAAAUAAGACAAUUUCAUUACACUUAUUCGAAGCCCAGACCUCAGAAAUGCUGCUACUCUUCCUUUUGAAAUUGUAAAUUACUGAAGAAGGAAGUUCUUUUUGUGUGUCUUAGAGUCAAAAAGUAUAACCUAUAAGGGAAAAAGAUGUCCUUUCAGUUAGAUGUAGAUAUUGAUUACAAUACACAGUGUAACUGGAAAAGAAAAGAAUGAGCUGCUAUAUAUUUGGAACUCUUCUAUUGGAAAUGAACAGUCUGAGGCCAGAGCAGACAUGUGAACACACACAGUUUUUUAAACUUUUUCCUUCUCAUUCUUACUUUUUGCCUUUUCAUAGCUUGGUGGCUCAAUAUUAAACCAGGUGAAGUUCAGCAUUUCCAGCGCGAGUUUUUGAGAUAAGUUCUAUAUCCAUUCAGAUUUCAGUCAGAGACAAACUCCUGUAUGUGUGGUGUUGGGCUACCAGGAUUUAACCUUGUGAUAAAACCUUCCAGUCUAAAUUGGAACAGAAAGGAAAUCUGAUGUUUCGAAAUUUCCCGUAGCAGAGGAAGAUUAUCUGUUUUAUCUGGGAAGAAAAAACACUUUUUUUUUCUUUUGUUUUUAAACAAGGCAGUACUUCUAGUUGCCCUGACUCCGCUAAUGCUCCGGGCAGUCCCAGUUGCAUAUAUUUAGAUUUACAUAUUCAAAAUGUGAAACGCAUUCUCCCUGAGCAAAUAUUCCUUUACAUGCAAUAGGGUGAAAUUAGCCUAUUUGUGCAAUGUCAUGGCCCUGUUUCUUGGUUAAAUAAGUUCAAGAAUCAGGUUUCUGGGGCAGAUAUGGAAAGAGAUUGAAAUUCUGCAUUCUGUAUUAUAUGCAGUGGCUUCUCCUUACCACCACCUCUCCCUGCUUCUUUCUCACAUUCAUAGAAAACAACUUCCUCUCCAGUUAGGUGAUGCAAGAUUGUCUGAGGUGUACUGCAAAUGAAAUACCGCUGGCUAGAAAUACUGCAAGCAAUUAUUUUCUUAAAAGCAGGAGCGAGCUGCUACUGCUGCUAAGGAUGAAGUCACUUACCUACGGGGAAAGAGCUGGCGGCCGCAGGUGGGGGCUUUACCAGUGGCUGCAGGAUACCCGCUGGAGCCACUCCCUGGCUCCUACCUGCCACCUCUCCGUGUACAACUGCUGCUUCUUUUUUAAGAAAAAAGCCCACCACACUUAAGACCCCUUCAAAAGUACUGAGUCUGAGAGCAGUGUAGAUACAGCUAACGUACAGUCCUUAAUUUCUGUUUUCCGUCUAUGUUCCGGUAGGUUCAGGUAGCCAAACCUCUGCGCCAUGCCACGCAGGAGCAAAUGGUGUGGUGCAGGGUUCUCCCUUGCUCCUCCUGGGUCAUUGAGGAUAAGUCCGCUUCGAGCGUGAGUCAUCCUGCUGCCACUUUUCCUUCCACCCUUUGCCAAGGUCUGAUGACAAGACUGUGAUUUCUCUAAGCUUGUCUUUGUUACAGGUGUGACACACAGCUCGUAGGGUUUCAUUACGGCUUUCAUAAUGUAUUCACGAAAUGUCAGGAUCAAGUCAUUUAUAAUUAACAGUGAUGUGUAAAUGUCAUGUCUAACAAUUGUAGUGUAAGAACAUUUUUGUGAAUGGGCCAUUUUUUACGCAUGCAACUGUCAAUGUCCAAAAAAGCCAUAACCAGCCAGGCAAAUGGUCGAUAAAGACAGAUUAUUUUUUUCCUUUUGUUUCUCCCCAUUGAAUUCUUGAUAGACAACUAGACCUUGGUGCCUGUUGUUCCUAGAUCCAGUACAGAUAUAAAGCUCAAGCCAGGAAUGGAAGCUUUUAUGAACAUUUUAGGGCUUGAUCUUGUUAUAAAUGUGGAAUGGAUAAACUGCUGCAUAAUACUGAUGUGCAGUCGGUAUGAGCACUGUCUAUAUUUUUGGCACCAAAGACAGUAAGGCAUGCAGCAUAGGAGCUGUACUACCAAAUCUGAGGAGAGGAAGGUGCCAGCAAAAAUAGUCCCAAGCAUGGAGAUAUCUGAAAUUGAUAUACUGGAACCAUCCCCAUUGGAAAGGAAAAACAAAUUGACAUUAUAAUGAAAAGAAAAGAAAGAACGAGGAGGUAGACUGAGAAAUUCUCAGUUUCACAAAGUGAAUACAAGGAGACAUGCAGUGAAAUUAAAUGGUGACAAAUUGAAAAUGUUUUAAAAAGCAAUUCUUUUCCACCAGUAUUUAAUUAAAAAAUGAAUGUAAUUGCUUUUAGAAGUUAAUGGGAAGUCUAGAACAGAUUAGAUACUUAUGUUUUUAAUAACCAUACAUAGAAUUAUAGAAAUUUGUUGUGAUAACUUUAGAACUGAGUUUAGACUUAAUGUUUCAGGGUUUAGGAUGAAGUGCAGCAAUUCAAGACCAGGGAAAAACCAGUGGAAAGGACAGCUCUUGAUUGUCCAAAGCCGCUAAUACUUGUCACUAUUGGAGAAGAUAUAUUAGAGAAGUCUGGAUUCUGACUCAGUCUAUAUCUGUCUCCUGCAAAGGAUUAAGCACAUACUUUGCCACUGACAAAUAAAAGUGAAGGGUUGAUAGAUGUUUGACCUUCACUUGGCCUCGCAUGUUGAAUAACUGCAAUACAACAGUAUUAGUAAUAAUUAUCCAAUGGCAUGGUCCACCUCCCGUUCCUUACGGUUACGUGUGCAAUGAGAGAGGAUUGCAUGACCACUGUCCAGAAAUGAAAGCAGAGGAAGGUGAACGGCUUAUCCGAGGCCAGGCAGCAUAUCACUGGAAGGGCUGUGUACAAAAGGCAGGGGGAAGCUGUGCAAGUGAGAUGGGCCAGUUUUUGCUCUUGGUGAGUAAUAACUUAGUUCAUGCAAAUGACAGCAGGAUUUUUCCUUGUCCUGCCAUGGCUUUAAAAGGAGUUAGAUCCUGGUUUAGGUUGCAAAGAAAAUGCCUUGUGUUGCCGUUUCCGUGAAUCCUACUCUGAAGCUCAGUUAUAGAAUCAUGUUAUUUGGUCAUCUUGAAGUCUGUAAAUUGGCUUACGACAAGCUCCUGGCAGUGGGACUCAAGCAUAUCUUUAACACCGUUGCCCAAGAAGUGCCUUGAGACCCAUAAAGACAAUGAAUUCUGAUGUAACUGUUCACAUUGUUGUUUGCCUGAAACCUCGAAGGUAAUUUGCUGGGGUAACAACGAGGACAAAAUUAAUCUCUCCUUUGCCUGGGUAUCUGAGGGAGCUUUAAAAACUCUGAACAGGACAGAAUUCACUUGGGAAGUUCAAAGUUUAUAAAGCAGCGCCCUUAAUCGUUGCGAGGCCCUCGGUCUGCCUCUCGCCACAUUGCAUUACAUAUUGACGCAGGCUUUGCAUUAUAUAUUAAAGCAGAUUUGUCCUCAGAUACCCUACUGUGGAGAAGGCCAUUUUUAAAUCCUUAAUAGGGCAUUAGAGCAAUUUGCCUGUGAUUUAGUUUUAAGUGGGCAAGGAGAGUGGUGACAAACGAAGCCGGGAGGCCCUAAAAUUCUUUGAAUAUUCCAUGUUUUCCUGGAACUGUUGGGAAAAGGCUGCCAGAAAGGUCUUGGCAGGUUUUCUAGGUGGCUGGCCAAGUCUGAAGCAAAUGUGGAUAGUUAAUAGGCUAAUGCAGCUCUGGUUCCAAGUCCGUACGUAUAUAACAUACGUUUUUAUUUAAGAAAUCCCACUGCAUGAAGGAGCAAAUGUAGUGCUAAUAUAUCUUCCUGAAAGAAAAUAGCAAGGGAAAAAACACUGUCAUCUUGUAACUAUAAAAUAAGGGAUCUUAUGCUCUUACUUUUUAGGGACUUGAAUUGUCAGCUGAAGAAGAGAAGAUGUAGGAAAUGAAAUCAGUAGACAGGCAGUGGCUUUCCCGGGAGGGCCCCAUCUUAAUCAGGAAUGGCUUGUAUAGCGAUAGUUUGCGUCUAAGAAAAAAGGCAGAAGUUGUUCAAAGAAUGCAUUUCCACGGCUAGAUUGACUUUUUGUUGUUGCAAGUAAUUAAAAAUGGCAAUUAAGCGGGAAAGUGAUCAAAUAAUGAGUCGGGACCUGCUGCUGCAGUUGGCUCCGUGUGGACAGCCCGUUCUAGCAUGAAGCAUGAGGCCACCAGUGCGUGUCGAAUCAUAAGAAUUAAGUGCUGCUACCGAGUCAUCCCAGGUGUAGGCUGGUUUGGGAGGGAUUUCUCUGUGCACCAGGGUCAGAACUGUGGUCACAGGCACCCACGGAAUAGGUGGUCACUGUCGUGACUGGCAGGAGUUGUUUCUGGGAAACAUGAGUUCAGAUUUCUCUGACACACCAGGUGAAUUAGCUUUGUAAUUUUAAAAUUGUCUCCACUGAGAGGGAUUCUUGUUCGAAUUCAGCUUAUGGGGCCUGUCUUGUUUUAUUAUCGAUGGGGCGAAGAGUGUGCACAGCCUCUACUGUCAUAGUGGAACAAUUUAUUAUUUUUUUUUAUUAUUAAGCCAUUGGUGCAGACCCUGAAAUUCUGCUACACUCUCCACUUAUUUUUCUUUGGUUUUAAAACAGAGGUCCCUGUUCCUCAUAAGGAGUGUUGUAAAGACAGACGAACUGAUCAUGUGUGAAUUGUUCAGACGGUCAUGUCGUGUGUCAUAUUGGAAUUGCAAGUAAGCAUACCGUAUACGUCUAUGAAGAAAUGUUUCAUAUGGACUACUUCCGUGCUAUCAUAUAUAUUUGUUAGCUGUACGAAGUUAAAAUUGACAACAUUUAUAAUCUAAUACUACUUUUAUACAAACAAAAUCAGCUUGAAAAGGUUAUUACUAUACUUUAGAAGCCCUAAUUAAAGAAUGUCAUUUAUUAUCAUAGUAAGUAAUCUGAUAUUCAGAUUGUUCUGUUUGUUUUCUUCAUUUUGUGUCUCCAAAAUGUUACGCUGUCUUUUUGCAUUACAAAACCAGCUAAAUUUAAGUUUAGGGUGUACUAGAGCCUGCGCUACGACGUUAAGUGAUGCAGAAGUAUGGACUGGCACCAGGAGCGGGGAGACUGGCUGCUGCGCGUGCGUCCCGCUGCUAUUUCUGGCAUGCAGAGCCUGAGCAGCGUCUGAUGGGCCAAACGUAAGUCCCCAGAGGUUGCCGCGUCUUCCUCGCGUUCUGACAUUCAUCCUGUCACAUGCCUCUUGAUAUGUGACUUUCUAAUUUUUAAUACACCCUCAACACCAGUGAAGCAACCGAAAGCAAGUUACUGUAUAUUAAGACCUCUGUGCCUGGUUUCGCAAGAGGUAAGGGUGACUAGGCUUGUGUUCAGAUUUCCCCUGUGUAAAAGUGCCCGAGCCUUUUCCUUCUUUGACAGCAAUACCUAAAUGGCUUGGCAUCACGUAGAUACCCUGCGAGAUGAGACUCCCUGUCCCCAGGAGCUUGCAGUCUAAAUAGAUAAGGCAGGCAGAAGAAGAAACACAAAGAGACAGAGAGACUUGCCCAAGCCACUUAGCACAUCGGGCGGCAGCACUGGGAAUAGGAACGGGGUCGUCUGAAUUCUCGCCACUGUCAUCGCCGCUGAUUCGGGAUUCCUGCGGCUGGUUCUGUGCCAGCCUCUGCCCUGUCCCUGUGCAGGGGUCGGUGGCUUGGGCCCACCAACCAGCUGCAGAAGGUAUUUUGGCGUCCUACCUUUUGGUUUAAUUCUUAAGCAGUGGCCAAGUAUUUUUUCCAUGAGAGAAAUAUGCUCUCGUGUGUUGUGUAAUUUUUUUCAAGUUAUGUUAAAUGCAGGCUGUAGCUGGAGUACUAGAAACCCUGAAAAACAUUUCUUUCUUUGUGUGAUCUUUUAAAUAAUUCCACCCUCUCAUUAAAAAGAAAGUCAGUGCUGAUGAAGAGGGCUAAGAGUCUGACAGAAGGCCUGGGGGAUAUUUAAGGAUGACCGUGCUUUGAUGUUCUUCGUGUCCUCAUAAUCUCUCAGGGGUCUUUACAAACUUUAGUUAAGGUUCACUUUUCAUAUGUGCAAUAGUUUUGUCACCUGUUUGUGUUGGUUUUAUGUAGGAGAGAACUGGAAAUAGACUGCAGGACUGAGGGUCCACACCGAAUUCAUGGAGGGAGGUAGGAAUAGACCUGUGGACUGCAGGCAGCAGGCUCUGCCCUCCAAUCACUGAACUACAAUCUCUCUUUUAGAGAGCGACCCUAGCACUUUUUGCCUAUUGAAAUAUAAUUCAUUCUAGCUCUGCUCUUAGUCUCGUGGAUUUCUAAUUUUAAUUUAAUUUUGUACUUCUCCUGCCAGGUCAGAUACCCAAAAUGUCCCUUAAACUUUACGUGUGUUUGUGAAGUUGAACCUAGGUUCAGCAGUUCAGUUUCUAUUUAAACAGCCUCAACAUGUAUUAUUUUUACUGGCUUUUUCAGGAGAAGAAAGCAAGAGUUGAUCGAGGGACACCAUCUUUUUCAUGCAAUGAUUCUAUUGAAAUUUCAAGUAAAUUUUAAAAAAGCAUUAAUGUUGACCAGACAGAAAGUUUUUGUAGCAACCUUGUAGGCCAACAUAUUCAUUUAUCUCCAUCACUUGGUAACUGCAAUUCUUAAAAUUCGUCAGACUUUCAGUACGAAGCAUCAGAUCUUAAGAAAUUAUGGCUCUAGCUCAAAACAGGUUAGAUUUAUCUGAAAUUUUAGUGAGGUUCUUGAAGCUUUCCUCAUGUUUUAGGUGAAUGGAGUCUUAUUUGAAACUUCUGGUGGACCUGAAGCCGUGUGAAAUAUGAGGGUUUUCAGGUGCUUUAUGAGUUAUGGAAAUGGCAAAUCAUGCAAGAGUAGAUGUAAUGCUUUUUUGCCUGACUUCAUCCACAUAAAUUUGAGUUUCACCUUGGAUUUCAGAGUUCAGUUAAAUCCAGUAUGUAUAGGAGAACUCACAGAUAAGGGCAGAUUGUUAACUCUCCAUAGAGCUCUGUUAGCAGACCUGGGGAUGGAGAGACAAUACAACCACCCCUUUUUAAGCUGUGUCGCUGUCGGGAUAGUGCUUGGGUGAGGUAAUUUGCUAACGUAUGCCUUGUUGGGUUUGGAGGUAAAAGUUGCUGGGUGAGUCAGGUUAAAAGGAAUUGUUGGUGAUGAAAGGGAGUUUACACGAUCUUCAACCACACUCGACAUAUCAUCUCUGUUGACUAACAGGCUAUCAAAUGAGGAUAACAAAAGUAAUCUGGACGUAGCCGCUUUGUUCCAAGGACUUCAAAACACUCCAAGGACAUGGUAAGCGUUGUCACGAUGGUUCUGUAUUAUGGGAAAGCAAGGUAGGAAGAGGUGGAAUGAUUUUAUCGCUGAUUUGAUGUGGAAUUGGACAAUAGUAUACAAAAUGGUGAGGUUCAAAUUAGUAGCUUUUGGUUCUCAAACUCCUCCCUUGGUAGAGCACUGUUCUGGUAAUGCCCAAAUCAUGACCCCUUUGCCCAACUUUGCUUUUUAUGAUGGGCCCCACACUAUGAAUUUGUACCUUUCUAUUAGUGAAUAUUUUUUUUCCUCCACUGAAGACAUUUUAUUGAUUUCUAAACUAUUCUCAUAUAUUAUCAUAUAUGCUGUCCAUAUUGCUGAGACGGAACUGUUAUUUUAAAGAUACUUCCUAAAUGAUCUCUGUAUAGUUUGUCUCGAGUGAAGUUACUGACUUGUCUCAAAGUCAGUAAGGUUUUAUAGUUAAUGCUUAAGUCCCUAAAGCACACUCUGUGGCUGAGCAUCCCUUCACCUGUGUGUCUUCUCCUUUGAAUGACUAAUUCCAAAUUGUCUCAGAAAAAGUAGUAGAAGUUUGUCUUUAAUCUACUUUCUGCUGUAACUGUGCACCUACCAAGGUCUCUUCUUCCUUUGAACCUGUGUCCAUCAUUAAAUUCAUUCUUUCUUUCUGUUUUCCAGCUUCUCUCUGCAAACUUCCUCUCACUCCAUUUCUGCAAGAACUUUUCCUGCAAACCAGGUCCCUAAGAGGAUUAGUGAAGGGGAUACCAAUUUAUUUAUACCCACCUCAGCAUGGCAGCAGCCAAACUAAGUUGCUGGACUGUUAAAUGGUGUGUAGCACAUGAAAGAAGCUUCAGUCUUCUGGUGCUGUUCAGAGUGGACAAGUGCCUACCUCACAGCUGCUCUGAACUUAUCCCCAAUGCUGGCGUUUGUUUUUUUUUUUUUUUCCUUCUUAGCCUGUUCACAUUGGGAAUACGAACAGUCAUGCUCAGGACUCAGUGGACUGCAGAGACUUGGCCCCCUUUUAAAUAUGAGAACAAUUUUCAGGCCUCUUUCAUUUGCACUUACUUCAUGCAAAACAAAAAAAACCCCAGAACCCCUCAAACUUUCUCUGUUUAAAUUUCAAAUUCCUGGUGGCCGCAGUGCCAGAUGAUGUUGCCACUUGUGUUUUCUUCUGUAGGGCCUGGCCUGAAUGAUCUCAAAGCAGCAAGCAAAGUUAAAUACAUGGCUGUGAUCAAAAGAGAAUGACACCUUUUUUUUUGUGCCAGCCUGGAGGCCCUUAGCUUUUGGCAUUUGAGUCUCUGAAAAACAAGGUUACUGGACUCUAGUAAAUGAAGUGUCCGGAUGUUAGUGAUGAUUCAUAAAAGCAAUUAAAAAAGGAAAGUGCUUUUCUGUUGAGCGUAAUGUCUUGGUUUGAAGAUGUUCUUAAGUGUGUGUGUAAUGCUGCAAAUAGUGGUCAGUGGAUAGUGACCGCUGUGUUUAAGAUUAUGGAUCUGUUUC